rnacentral:siRNA from 1 species
UCCCAUAGUUGUGCUGCAUCG